UACGUAGGGUGCAAGCGUUAUCCGGAAUUAUUGGGCGUAAGGAGCUCGUAGGCGGUUUGUCGCGUCUGCUGUGAAAACUGGGGGCUCAACCCCCAGCCUGCAGUGGGUACGGGCAGACUAGAGUGCGGUAGGGGAGAUUGGAAUUCCUGGUGUAGCGGUGGAAUGCGCAGAUAUCAGGAGGAACACCGAUGGCGAAGGCAGAUCUCUGGGCCGUAACUGACGCUGAGGAGCGAAAGCAUGGGGAGCGAACAGG
rnacentral:rRNA from 1 species